UGCUCAGCGGCAAAGGCAGGGUCGUUAGUGGUGUCGUCGGUGACGUAGUCGAUCACAGGGACAACAUCGGUCUCGGGGGCUAUCGGAGAGAAGAAGGGGAAGCAACGGAUAAAUACACAGUAAUCAUAUGCAACACAGAGGAUGCUAUGCUGACGUGCAGUGCAGGGUUGCCUAAAGAUAUGUCUAAGUCAUAUUAGGUAUUUUAGGAUUAAAGUUGGAUUUAUUCACAUGUAUAUAUGCACUAUUCAUCUACCGGAAGCAGGCUAAAAGUUGCGGGUUCACCUCUAUAGAGGGUCCCGAUACGGAAACAGAUGGCACUGUUGGGUUCGUCUCGUCGUUCUGAUCAACUUUCAUGUAGAAAGUUUUUCGAUCCGAGCUACGGUUUAUUUUAUAUGAAAUUUUAAAGCUUUAAUCAUUUUAUGAAGAUUCAACAUUUAUUUAAACCGAAUUGACCAAGUCAAAUUGACUGGUCAAAAGGUAAGGCGUGGCCCACAUGGCAUAGACUAUACGUAAAAAUAUAAAUAAAAUCUAACUUAACUAAAUGGGGUUCACCUGCCGUAGGCUAGCAACUAACCUAACAAAGAUUACCUAAUAAGUAGUCUAAAUUGGCCUAAUCUAAUUAGGCCGGCCACACACAACACGUACGCACACACGGCCACAUUCACCACCACGAGCAGCCAGCGAUUGCAGACGGCAGUACCCGCAGCAAGGCAACGCUAGUGGCGGCGGCUAGCAGGAUAAGAGCAGCACCAGCACGGCCAGCAGCGGGAGUAGCAGCAGUUCAGUGGCACACGGCAGGAGUAGCAGCCCGGCAACAGAAAUAGAGCAACAGCGAGCGGACGUGAGGCCACGGCGGCACGCAGAAGCAGCAGCAGUACAGGGAGCAACAGGACAGCGGCAGGGCCGCGGGCGGCUGCAGUGCGGCACGCGUGGGCGCGCGGUCGGGCGAGCCGGCGGGCGGCCGGGCCAGCCAGCGCGCCGGGGUGCAGCGGACACGGGACUGGGCAUGGCCAGGGGCACGGUGUGCGGGGCGGCUGGGAGUAGGCAACGGCGGCCGAGCCAACGACAGACGCAGGUGAGGCCAGGGCGGGCGCACGCGACUGGGCGCGGGAGGCAGUGACGAGCGGACGUGCGAGCGGGCGCGAUGGUGGCCACGGGAGAGCGAGCGAGUGGGCGACCUCGACGUGUUGUGAGGAGUGGAGGCGGACGUACGCGGCCAUAGCGGUGGGGCGGUGAUAUACAAUACGAAUCAAGGUCGACGCGAGGGGGGACGAAGGAGGCUCACCAGGGGAUGGCUGACGGCCAGCUCGGACGGGUCGGGGGCUUGCUGGAGCGUGGAUCCGCGGUGAGGCAGCGACAACCAUAGGCGAUGAAGCCUCCCGAUCCACGCGAUGUAUGGACUCCGAGCUCGAGCUCAUGGACGGAGAGGGAGCAGCGGACGUUGAUGGUGCUCUUGACACGUUCCUAGGCGGCGGGCGUAGAGUACGUGGGCGAGGUCGGACUUGGCGACCAUGGUGGCGGUUUGCCGCGGGGAGAGAAGAGCAGGCAUGGAAUGGCUGCCCCGUGGAGGAUCCGGC
rnacentral:lncRNA from 1 species